GCUAUUAUGCAAAUUUGUGAGUAGUGGCGUAAUGGAUUUUUAAAGUAAAGCUGUGAAUAAGUUAAUCUUACAUUAGAAGGAAGCCCAUCUCUGCAUUCUUUUCAAUUUUUUUUUUUAUGGUUCUUUUGUGAAUCCCACCACCUUUGUAGAUCAGAUGGUCAGUAGUAGUAGACUUGCUGAAAUCUACAUGUCCAAUGACAAUGAUGUUGAUAUGAGUCUUUUCCUUUCCCAUUUUUGCUUUGAUUUAGUGGUGGUUUUCAUGAAGCCUGUGUUCUGGAGGUAGACCCGUUGUGAAAAAGCUAACUUGCUUAAUUUCUUUAGGCUCUAGUUUGCUUAUAAAAUGAAGGGUUGGACAGUUGCUUCCUAAGGACUUUGCCAGCUCUAGUAUUUUAUGAUCUAAUAGGACAGUGUAAUUUUAAAUAAGUUAUUUUAUUUCCUGAAAUUUCAGCAGAGGGGAGAGUGCUCUUAGUGGGUUAGUUAGGAGGUUAUUGAGCUGGAGUUAGAACUAAAUAAGCAAAUGAGAUUCAGUGCUUUAGUGAAAUGGCAAGAAAAUUUACUAGGUAGGUAGGAUUUGGAAAGGACACUAAUAGAGGUUUAUUCUCUCCUUGAAUACUCCUGAGAAGAAAAGAAAACAUUAUAUUAUUGCCCAACUAUUAUUUUCUUAUGUGUGUUUUCAUCUUUUGAAAUCCUUUCCCUCAUAAAGUUGGCUCUGUAAUUUGAAGGAUACAUACUCCUAGUAUCAUUGAACUCGGGUUAAUCUCAUUCCACUCAUGUUACCUUUGUGUUACUCCUUUUUUUUUUAUUUUUUUAUUUUGUUGUUGUGUUUUUAAUUUAGAUCACCUUACAGACUAGUGACUACAUUUAGCAUUUAAGAAAGAUCAAGCGAUUGGUGGUAGAUGUUUGGCUAGGUUAAUGUAUUUGAAGAUUAGUACAAUGAACUGUCUCUGGAAAUAGGUAGGAUGCUGAGUUAGUGACUGACUAAAGAGAUUCUAGAAUGUAGAAACCCUUGACUUAAUCAUUUUUAGAAAACACAUUUGGAAACAAAGAUGCAGAAGGAAUCAGUGACUUGCUCAGAACCUCAAGAUCUCAGUAAUUUCCUUUCCAUGUCACUACAUGCCUUUGUAAGAAUUCUACACCAGACUGAGUGGGCGAAGAAAGAUGUCCUAUUGAGAUAGUACAGGUAAUUGUUAUGAGGAUAAUCCAUGUACCAUAGGCACAAUUCUGUUUGCCUAGGAAGCCAAUCAUUUUAUAACCUAUUAGAAAUAUAUGGCACUUUUGCUUUUGAGUAGCUUACAUAUUCAUUUGAAGUAAUGAUUUUCAGGGGUGAAAUAUUGAGUAAUGAUAUUUGGAAUUCAGAAAAGUCUAUAUAACUUCCAUAAUAUAAGCCACAGAAAUUAACAUGGGGAAACUUUAGCUGGUGUGGGUACAGUAAUUCUCAAAUUGGGGCGAGAGGACAACCUAUACUAUGGAGGACGGUGAGAUUUAAAAGUUUUCCAAAAGUGUAGAUGGGUGGGGAAAAACGUUGAAAAACUUAGCACUUAAAGCCAAUAUGGAAUUCCAGUUGAGCAAUUUUAAUUUUUAAUUUUAAUAGGCUCUGACACAUUUUUUUUUAAUUUCCUCUUCUGUGUUUUGAUAAGAUCUAAGCGGAUUAGAAAAUCGAAUUUCUGUUUAGGCAUUUCUUCUUCCCUGUGGCCUUGAACAAAGGUGGAAAUGUUCAAUAAUAUAAUGCUGUUUGAGAAGAAGAUAAUGGGCGUCUUUGUGAGAAGAGUUUCCAUGUAAUGAAACAUAUGUGAUGUUAUCUGUUUCUCUACUAGGGCUAUUACUGGGCAUAUUUUUCAUUGUUUCCUCUCUGAAUUGACUCUAUUUAGAACAGGAGGAACUCCUGGAAUUAAUGUGGGUGAUAUUGCGAAAGAUGGGACAAUUCUGAAGUGUGUGUCUUUUGAUUCCUUCUCAAGGAAUAACACAACAUUCCCUGUCUCUUGGCAGAUCUGUGCCAUUUAAUUAGUAAGUACUUCCUUAGGCUUCAAGGUGAACUCAUUUUUAAGAGAGCAACAUGAUUGAUCUGAGAAACAACGUACAGUAGAUAAUUACUUUGAAAAUGGUCACCUUUUGUAUACAAUACUUGCUCUGAAACUCUUGGGAAAAGUGUCUUUAAUGAACAUAUAAAGAUUCAUCGCCCUUUGCAACACAUUGGAUGGAUCUUAAGAGUAUUAUGUGAAGUGAAAGACGUCAGAGGGGAAAGGACAAAACCAUAUCAUUUCACUUAAAUGGGGAAUAGAAAACAAAAAUAACAAAUGAAC